rnacentral:rRNA from 1 species
GAUGAACGCUGGCGGCGUGCCUAAUACAUGCAAGUCGAGCGAACAGACGAGGAGCUUGCUCCUCUGACGUUAGCGGCGGACGGGUGAGUAACACGUGGAUAACCUACCUAUAAGACUGGGAUAACUUCGGGAAACCGGAGCUAAUACCGGAUAAUAUAUUGAACCGCAUGGUUCAAUAGUGAAAGACGGUUUUGCUGUCACUUAUAGAUGGAUCCGCGCCGCAUUAGCUAGUUGGUAAGGUAACGGCUUACCAAGGCGACGAUGCGUAGCCGACCUGAGAGGGUGAUCGGCCACACUGGAACUGAGACACGGGCCAGACUCCUACGGGAGGCAGCAGUAGGGAAUCUUCCGCAAGGGGCGAAAGCCUCGGAGCAACGCCGCGUGAGUGAUGAAGGUCUUCGGAUCGUAAAACUCUGUUAUUAGGGAAGAACAAAUGUGUAAGUAACUAUGCACGUCUUGACGGUACCUAAUCAGAAAGCCACGGCUAACUACGUG